UCUGGGUUCUCCUUCGCUAGAAACGACAGCCCAGGAUGCUCAUGGCCUGGUGGAAGGGCCUUGAAAUCCAAGAACCUGCCCCCCGAGUCGGGAGGAUGAAAGAGAUUUCAACCAACAAGCAAACAGGCUCUUCUCCACACGUUUCACGGGAUCGAACGCCUGCUCAUAGAGCUGGGUCUACCAGAGGAAGACAACUUAAAGCGUUUGUGAGAAAUGACUUCCUUUUUAAUGCUGGUCCUUUGUGGAAGCCAAUGGUGGAAGCAUCAGUCCAGAGGGCUCUCCUGGAAGCCAGUCCUCCAUCCUAGUCUCUGCUCUUGGCUGUACUGAAACCAUCCUUUUUCUAUGUUCUGUGUUUUCUAGAAGCUCCACAUACUUUACCACAAUGUUCCUUGUCAUGGCAGCACGGAAGAGAUGGAAAAAGGGAAGAGGGGAAUAUGCAGUAGCAGAUGUGAAAAUCAGGUGUUUCUAAGUCACUGAUACCUGUAAAGUAAUUGCAUUUGUGAUACCGGAACAGGUACUUCCAAAUAUGCAUAGAGUUCUCGCCUCAGCAGUGUGGAUACUAAAAUUGGAAAGAUAAAGAGAAGGUUGUCAUGGCCUCUGCACAGGAUGACACACAAAUUCAAGAAGCAUCCCGCUUUUUGGUUCGUCAUGCACUAAACUGUACGCGUAAAAAUUGUUAAAACAGCAAACUUUAUGUUAUGUAUAUUUUACCGCAGUUAAAAAUAUGCACAGAAAUGGAUCUAGAAACAUACAUACAAACUGUUCACAUUGGCCAAUUCUUGGGAAGAAGAGUUGGGAAGAAGGGUGACUUUCAGGGUUUUUUCCCUUCAAUUUUAAACCUUUUUUUGGAAAUUAUUUUAAACAUAGAAAAGUUGCAUGAGUAAGAGUAUUGCCAAUAAUACCUCUAUACCGUUUAUCCAGAUUCAACUACUCUUAACACUUUAUCCAUUUGCUUCAUCAUUCGUUUUCUCUCUCUCUCUCUGCAAUCUAUGGGGAGACACUUUAAGUCCUUACAAAUAUCUUUCUCCUCAUCAAGAUUUCCUUCUGGAUUCAGCAUCCGUGGAUGAUUUCUGUUGAACUGAUCUUUACUAUGAUGGCUGCAAAAUGGGUAUCUUCCAACUCUAGCACCCCUCACCAUAUACCAUUUGGCACUGAGUGUUCUGCUUUAAGCAGGAACCCUCUGUAAUCCCCUCAGUUUUUUAUAUAUUUGUCACAGGCAAGGGCUCAUGAAUACCUAUUUUUUCAAUGAUUUAUAAUUCACUAAUGUAUUUGAUUAUUUUGCUGCUCAAAUUGUCCCAGAUUUGCCUAGUGGAGUCCCUACAAGCUGGCUCCUGUGUCCCUGUGAUGUGUGACCCACCUCUGCCCAGCAUGUUGAGCACUGCCUUAAUAUCUGGCAUAAAAAGAUUUUCCAGGCUUUUCUUGUACCUAUCUGCCCUGGCCCUGAAGUCAGCCAUUUCUAUGAAGAGCCUUGGUUCUUUUUAAUGGGGAAAGGCAUUAGAAACCAAGAUCUGGAUGUGAGCUAUGCUCAUUGCUUGUGGGGAGUCUUUGCUUCUUGUAUCUUUCAGUUGAGUGAACUAGAAAAUCAACAGAUAUUUAUAUGUGUACAUAUAUACACUUACAUACAAAUAUACCUAGACAUAUAAGUAUAUGCAUAGAUAAAUCAUAAACAUGUGAACAUACAUGUACUUUAGAAAUCACGAAUUCACAGAAAUAAUUUCAAUUUCCAUCCGUUCCCACAGGGAUUUUUUUCUUGCAUUCUCCUCUAUUCCAUAUUUGCACUUUUUUUUUUCAGUGAGGACCUUGGAUUCCUCAAACAAUACAUUCACUUAUUUGCUCAAUUGCAUAAUACAUCGAAAAUAGUUUCAGAAUUGCUUCAUCCUUGUCUCUACGUAAAACAAACCCACUGAAAAGAGUUCAGGAUUGGUUUGUAAUGUCCUCCAUGCCCAUCAGUCCGCCACAAACUGAGGGUAGAUAGUCAAAUGCCGAAUAUUAAUACCUUGCUCAGAUUCGUUCUUUCUGUUUCUAUUUCCCUCCUGUGUGGUUAUACUACCCAUUUGAAAUCUAAUUAAGCUGACUGGUUUCAAUUUGCUCUCAUUUUACUUCCCACAUCCCAUUUUUACUAACUUAAUUGAUUUUUGAGUAUAUAGAAGGUUAUCAUAUUUUCCAAAGAAAAACUGAACAGAAAGGUAUAUGCGUGCCACUCCUCCCCAGAUCUCGCCUACCACAGUCUCCUUAUGGGUAACCAGCUUCAUGGUUUUCUGGUUUAUCCUUCUUGUCUUUCUUUUUGUACAGGUAAACAGUCACAGAUUUUCUUAUUUUUCCUGCUACUAUAUAUGCUUUUUUAAAAACAGCUUUAUUGAGCAUAAUUUACCUGGUAUAAAAUUCACCCAUUUUAAGUGGACAGCUAGACAAGUUUUAGUGAAUUUAUACAUUUGUGCAACCAUCACCACAAUCCUAUUUUAGAGGAACACCACCAUCCUCCCAGGAGCUGCCCUCAUGCCCAUUUGCAGACAACCCCCACUCCCAUCUCAGCCCCAAGCCACCACCCAUCUGUGUUCUGUUUCUAUUGUUUUAUUCUUUCUAUAAAUUUCAUAUCAAUGGAGUUACACAAUAUGUGGUCUUAUGUGUCUGGUUUCUUACUAGCCUCAUGCUUUUGAGGUUCAUUUGUGUUGUUGACGGUGUCCACAGUUCUCACCUUUU